CUCCUUUCUUCCUCCUCUCGUAAGGAAUAGUAGCUCCAAGAGUGAUACGUUUUAUCCAGCCAGACAUGGAAGCUUUAGCCAGGCUCAACCAAACCUCUACAAUCCUUUCAUGGAGGACUCCCACCACUGAGCCUCAGUGACUAUAGUGACCUCCUGUAAACUACCAAACGAGGUGACUCCACUAGUUGAGGCAGUUAUUCUUGUUCUCUCCUUCAUCUGGUCUCUACUCUUGUCCUCUUCCUAUGACUGAUGGAGGAGCUAGACUAAUUGAAGAAUAAGAUGGAAAAUCACGCUAGUAAGGCUGUGGGCCUUUGGUGAAGUGGGCCAUUGCUCAGAACUAAGAACCCUGUCAGGAAACACUCUCAUUAUUUCAUACUCAAUCCCUCUAGGAUGUUGACAUACGACCCAAUCCUGAACCCUGUCCUAUCCUAGACGACAACAGGUAUCCCCAAUUCUAAUUAUACAU